AGUGAACGCUGGCGGUAGGCCUAACACAUGCAAGUCGAACGGCAGCACAGUAAGAGCUUGCUCUUACGGGUGGCGAGUGGCGGACGGGUGAGGAGUACAUCGGAAUCUACUUUUUCGUGGGGGAUAACGUAGGGAAACUUACGCUAAUACCGCAUACGACCUACGGGCGAAAGCAGGGGAUCUUCGGACCUUGCGCGAUUGAAUGAGCCGAUGUCGGAUUAGCUAGUUGGCGGGGUAAAGGCCCACCAAGGCGACGAUCCGUAGCUGGUCUGAGAGGAUGAUCAGCCACACUGGAACUGAGACACGGUCCAGACUCCUACGGGAGGCAGCAGUGGGGAAUAUUGGACAAUGGGCGCAAGCCUGAUCCAGCCAUACCGCGUGGGUGAAGAAGGCCUUCGGGUUGUAAAGCCCUUUUGUUGGGAAAGAAAAGCAGCAGGUUAAUACCCCGCUGUUCUGACGGUACCCAAAGAAUAAGCACCGGCUAACUUCGUG
rnacentral:rRNA from 1 species